rnacentral:rRNA from 1 species
GACGAACGCUGGCGGCGUGCCUAAUACAUGCAAGUCGAGCGAAUGGAUGGGAGCUUGCUCCCUGAAGUUAGCGGCGGACGGGUGAGUAACACGUGGGCAACCUGCCUGUAAGACUGGGAUAACUUCGGGAAACCGGAGCUAAUACCGGAUACAUUCUUUCUUCGCCUGAAGAAAGAUGGAAAGAUGGUUUCGGCUAUCACUUACAGAUGGGCCCGCGGCGCAUUAGCUAGUUGGUGAGGUAACGGCUCACCAAGGCAACGAUGCGUAGCCGACCGGAGAGGGUGAUCGGCCACACUGGGACUGAGACACGGCCCAGACUCCUACGGGAGGCAGCAGUAGGGAAUCUUCCGAAAUGGACGAAAGUCUGACGGAGCAACGCCGCGUGAGCGAAGAAGGCCUUCGGGUCGUAAAGCUCUGUUGUUAGGGAAGAACAAGUGCCAGAGUAACUGCUGGUACCUUGACGGCACCUAACCAGAAAGCCACGGCUAACUACGUGCCAGCAGCCGCCGUAACAC